UCCACGAUGUAUCGCUUAUAAAAAACUAGAAUCUAAAAUACAACAUCAAAGUUUUUAUGAAGCUCUUUUGGAGGGUGUUCCAAAAAACUCUAGAAGAUGGAGUUAGAGAAAAAUUAAUUACCCAUCACUCUUCGUUUAUUCCAUCUUAACCAAUCAAACAGAUUGUUUCCACCAAGUUUUUCUAUUCUUAAAAAUAAGCCAAAUAUUUUCGUUUUUCUAUUCUUAAAAAUAAGCCAAAUAUUUUCUUAAUAGUGCUAUAACAUGUCCUCCUGUCGAAGGUCACCGAAUCGUGCUAUAACAUGUCCUCCCAUCGAAGGUCACCGAAUCCCAGCUCAGGUUGUCUGUGCUAUAACAUGUCCUCCUCGGUGUCUAAAUGCGGUGGNN
rnacentral:lncRNA from 1 species